GGGGGUGUAGCUCAGUCGGUAAAGUGCUUGCCUUGCAUGCACAAGGCCCUGAGUUCAAUCCCAGCACCACAA
rnacentral:tRNA from 1 species